rnacentral:lncRNA from 1 species
ACAAUAUCGAAGUUUGUGUUUGCUAUGUUGGUGUUGUAAAUAAUUCAUAGUAACUUUUAACAAUAUAGGAUCAUAUGUGUGUACAUGUUUAUGUUUAAUUGUAGGAAUGUGUUGAAGUGUAUUGAAUAAGUUUUAAACAAAGACAAAUGGAGAAAAGGUAAGUCAAUAUAUACAAUUUCUAAGAUAAUUGGAUUAUGUCGUUAUUUCAAACUUUGUGUCUUAAUUUUCAUGUUCAUAAAUUUGUUCAAUCUUAAAAUAUCAGUAUCAUUUAUAUUGUUCACUUAUAGAAAUAUUGUUGAGACGGUUUACUUCUAAAUGAAGGGAAACGUACUUUAUCGCUAUUCAAAAGUCAUAAAUCGGUUUAAAGAUAACAAAUCCGGGUUUCAAACUAAAACCGAGGGAAAUGCAUUAACUAUGAGAAUAAAAAAACGAAACAACAGAACACUGAAGUGCAACAAACGACAAUGUAACAUUCACAACAACGAACUAUUAGAUAACAUCUGCCAUAUUCCUGACUUAGGGGUGUAUUCUUCGGACGUUUCAGUCUCGUUGAAAUCUAGUUCUGGAUUUUUUUCCAAAGCAUGUGAAACAAGUGAAAAAUAUCAAUGAAUUUUAAAAAUAUGAUAAUCGAACAUAACUCUGUGAAAAAAAUGUGUAUUUACAAUGAAUAGUUUUUGAGUAAUCCAGUUUUGAAAUUUUACGACCAAUCAAGUCAGUCUUUUUAGCCAAAUGUUUUAUAAAAUGGGUGAGGGGUACAAAAAAAUAUUUUACAAGAAUCAUGUACAUCCUAUAUCAUUGCUCUUUUCAAAUUUCUUAGAUAUGUAUUUUGUCAAUCAUUUAUAACAAAAAAGUUGAAAUAAUAUGCAUUUUGUUCAAUAAAUGAGAAAAAUCACAAAUUUACAAAAUUGACAGAAUGGUAAAUUUGAUAUAAAAAGGCAUCAGAAUAUGAUAAAACUUUCUUAUAUUAACACCUACCUAUAGUUUUUUUAAGUUAAAUUUAUUUGUUACGCUUCAUCUUUAUUGAAAGUAUGAAUAAAAUUUAAUUGUGGAACUGUGAUUUUUUUCACGAUAACAGCCCACAAAUAGGUAAAAUUUAUGAAAAAUGGGAAAAUCAUCAACAUUGGGUAUUUUUAAAGGGCCGUAGCAAUAAAAGAAGUGCACCACCGUAUGAAUUUUCCUUCACCAAUUAUUUUUUUACAGUCAUAUAAACCCCAAAAUCAGGUUAAGAAAAAAGUUAAAUUCUAGAUAUGUUUGGCUCCUCAGAGGUUUACAUCCUUAAGGUAGCACAAUACACAGAUUUUAUCCAAUUCCCUAGUUUUAACAUGCUGUAACUUUCUUUAUACAUUGUUAUAAUGCUUGGAAAUUUAUAAAAGUGGUAUUUAUGGAUAACUAACAGAUUACUCUUUCAAAUUAAUACAAUGUUAGAAUUAUUCAACAAUAAUGUAAUCAAUUAUUAUGUUAACUGUGUCUACAAAAUUUUACAAGAAAUUGCCACUUUCAAUUGUUAUGUUAAAUAUGUUAAAUAUACCGCUAAAAUGACAAGACUACAUGACGAGAAUACUGCACAAAUAAAUGCAAGAACAUCAUAGACAAUGAAAUAUAUAGAUAAAUAAUAUAAUCAUAGAUUUUGACAUGUUAACCACAGAAUAACAACGGAUAACUAAAAUUAUUUUAGGACAGUACACAAAAACAACUUAAUACAAAUACGAAUUGUGUGUAUAACCCAGUCUGUGUGUCGUAGCUGGACACAUUUCUGGAUGGAUACAAUUAAAUGUAUCGCUGGAGUCUUGUUAAAUUAUUCGAAGCUGUUGAGUGAAAAAAGGAUUAUUGCCUUGACAAAAGUAAUCUUUUCCGAUACAUAAAAUAUUGAAUAUUUGAUUAAAAUUGAACACCGGUAAAGUACAGCUGCCUUUAUUAAACAAUCAUUAACAAAUUAAAAAAAAAACAAUGCUUUGUAGAUGUCAUGCUUUCGAACGCUUUUUGGGGAUUAAUCUUUAUGAGGAGAACUCAAACCCGAACAAUGAUAUAAUUGUACAAAUUGUGACUUGGAUGGAAAUGUCUCAUAUGCACUCAAUCCACAUCCUCUAUUGAUCGAUUGUCAGAUUAUCCCCAUCAUUCGAGAAAAAAAACAUCAUAUGUAUUAGUUUACUGUCGUAAGCUCUAGGUUUAUUGAAAUUUAAAACUGAUUUUGCAUACAUGACAGUUGUAGGUAAUUGUCAAUAUCACCAUGUUCUGAAAUAACAAUUCACAUAUUUUUAUAUUCAAACGAAAAUUAAUCUUAACCUUAAUUUAAAAUAUGAUCGUACGCUUCAAACGAAAAAAAUUAUCCAAUUCUUGAUAACAGAUUGAGGUUAUACUAUAUAUAUAUAUAUAUAUUUAUCUGUAAUUUUAGCCACAGCUUGAGAUAUUAGGAGAUUUUUACACACUCCUUCUUAUGUCGCUGCAUAUCAUUCCAGUUUUGAACCGACGUUUUUUGUCACCCUAUUUUUGUCUUAACAAUGGAUGGGAAAAUGCACAUAACUUCAAUUUAUACUAGAUACAGAGUGUCAAGGUGUUAAACAGUGAUGCAUUGAUCCACAAACAAAAAUGAACCUACAUUGAAAUGUUCUUUGUCAUCACGAAUUAAAAAUAGACUUGUCCAGAUAAUAUUAGUAGACUUGACCUUAAUGAAUAUUUGAGUAUCCUUGCGUCUAAAAUACUAUAUCGUUAUCUUUUGAAACAUUUCGUGAUGUCACCAUAUCCAAAAAAAAUAUGAUCUUUAAACCAUUGAAAAGCAUGAUUGCUCUAGCGGAGAGCUAUUUGAAGCACCUGAGAUCACCUUCCAGUUUUUUAUGGGGGUAGUGUUUCUUAGUCGUCAGAUUUCUAUGUUGUGCCUUUUGUUCUAUUAUUUGUCUGCUUGUCUUUUUCUGAUUUAGCCAUGGCAUUUUCAUUUUUUUUUCGAUCUAUGAUAUUGUAUGUCCUAAUACAUAAUUGAUAAAUAGUCCGUAUCAACUUCACAAAUAAUACACGAUGGUCCUGAAGUAUAGAUUAUAAGUUUAUCAUCUUAAUAACCAGAUAACGUGUUAUAGUAUUCUUUUAUUUGUCGUUAUGACAAUUACCUUUACUGUUUAGUCUGUUUUUGGUUAUAAUCCACUUAAGGUGAAUAUGUACUUAUACAUCCCGUCAUUGUGUUAUUGUACUAUGGUAAAAUUUUGUAUUCUUGUCUGUCUUUUUGUUUUUAUAGUGAUUAAGAUUGCAAUGCUGACCCCAAUUUUUUACAUUUUUACCUAAUAUGUCUGCUGGUUUGGUUCAUAAAUCGUUGUCAAUAUAACGGAUUUUGAUGCAACUGGCAUACAAGUGAGAGGUUUAGCUAGAUAUGAAUCCAGGUUCUAAGCUUUUGAUUUUGCUAUUUGAUUAGGGUCUUUUGAAUUUUCCUCCAAGUUCAGUACUUUUGUGAUUUAAUUUUUUUAACUUCGUGUCGUGAGCAACGAUUUUAACUGUUCAUUUUAAAAUGUACAAAUGAGAAGUUUAGCUAGCUAUAAAACCAUGUUUAAUCCACCAAUUUCUACGUAAGAAAACGCCUGUAACAAGUCUGGAAUAUUGAAGUUAUUUUCCAUUCGUUUGAUGUGUUUGAGCUUUUGAUUUUGUCAUUUGAUAAGGUACUUUCCGUUAUAAAUUUCCAUUUCGGUUCGUAUGAUUUUAAAGUUGCCUAGGUUAAAAUAUAUUCAGACAAAUAAAAAGAAAUACUUAUUCCAAAGAGGAUAUUUAAAAACGGUAUAUAAAAUGAAGGAAAUAUCCUUUAUUCUGCAAUUGGGUGUUCUACUAUACAGAUACAGUCCUCUACAUAUAUCGCUAUGCUGUAUCUGUAUACUAUACACAUAUCGCGUUAAGGCUCCGCCCGCUGCCGGACUGAGUAUUGUAUGAACCUGCGUGACCUCAGAAUGUGUAUUGCAGUCGCAUUCCAAUGACGUAUAAAUUGUGAAUUAACGAUUUCUUUUACACGUUCUGUUUGUUUUCAAACAUUUCUUAAGACCAAUAAGAAUCACACCACAUUUCUGAUAACUUACACAUAUGAACAGCAGUCUUUUAUACGAUGACAACUAUCGAUUUCAAAACUGUUCGUAAAAAUUGUUCUCAUGGACAAAGAACAAAUUCGCAAUCAAAGAAAAUUUUGGACCAACCACACAAAUAUUUCGGAUCUAUUUCUAUUUAAAAAAACAACGGCAGACAUUAUCUGUUAACCAAGCUCUGUUCUUUACCUAUAAAUAGGUAAAUAAAAUUCUAGAGGAUUGCAACAUAAUUCCAUAUUGCACUCCUUAGUAUGAAAUCGUUCAAAUCAUACUGUCAUAUUGUUAUUCUAAACUCGCCCUGAAGAUCAUAAAACACAUUUUAUUAAAAUAAAGUAUGUCAAUAAAGGUUUUUAUUUUGUAAAUAUUGCCGGUAUUCCUGGAUAUUUUGAUAAAACUGAACUCCCUCUUAUUUGUUAUAUUUACAAGAAAUCUACCCGGAAAUAUGUGUUUAGUUAUAGCUAAUUGUGUAAAGAUGUAAAUAUCAGUGAAAAUCGACUAUGCCAUGUAAUUGCAGUAAUUCCGAAAACAAUUAUGGCUCCAUUUUCCAUGUCAAAACAGGAGACUUUAACACCGUUCGUGACCGAUAGUUAAAAUCAUACCUCAGUAAAGGACCUUAAUAGCGUUCCCCGUCAAUUAUAAAUUGGAAUGAGUGUCGUUAUAUCAUCGACGACUCACUCCGUACUUACUGUUUGAAACGGGUAAAACGGGAAAAAGAUGGCAAAACAGCUUUGGACUCUUUUUUUUUAAUUCAGUAAUGUAGAUAGUUGAUAUUCGUAUACAACAUCGCAGAUCAAACAUAAACUAAAAGAACUAGCCAAGGAAUUUGUUUUUGUCCCAGCUGAUAAAGCUGCUAAUAAUAUCAUUAUUGUUUGAAAUAAAUUUUGUAUUGAGGUUCUGCAAAAGGAAAUCACUAAUUCACCAACAUUACAACUAACUUCAUUUUUAGAAAACGACAUCUGUAACAAACACAAACUUUUAUCUACUUCUUUACAAGCAGAACCAAAUACAAUGAAAGUCUCAACUAUGUACUGGCUUCAGAAGCUACACAAAAAUCCUUACAAAUAUAGAUUUAUUUCAUCUCCAAGCCAUUGUUCCACUACUUAAUUGUCUAUCAUACUUACUAGUACACUUGGUACAAUAAAAAACCUGAAAAUAAAUUGUUCAAAUAAGGCCUUUCAAAAAAGUGGAAUUAAUUACUUUUGAAGGGUCACAAACUCGUUGGAAGUACUUGAUAAAUGCAUGCAUAUAUUGGUGAUUUUGAAACUGUUCAAAGUUUUAAUUUUCUACCCUAUAUACCACUUUGUCUCAUAUUCCUAUUAAGAAAACAAUCACAUUCCUAAUUAACUGGGCAUUUAAAAAGUCAGAAUGCGAUUACAUAUUCAAACUCUUUUAGGUCAUUUUUAGUAGCAAUAACAAAAGAUAUGUAAUUGGACAUGCUUUGAUACUAUAUAUUCGCUUGAAUUUUUACUUGAUAACAUUUUCGUUCGCUUUGGAGAUUCCGUAUAUCGGCAAGUUAUUGGAAUUCCAAUGGAAACUAACUAAUUUAUUGCGGACCUGUUUUUGUAUUGUUAUGAGUUACAUUUAUGACUAAAUUAGUAAAGACCCAUGAAACAACAUUUGAUACAAAAAUUUAACAACACUUUAGAUAUUUGGAUGAUAUAUUGGCUCUUAAUAAUGACGACUUCAGUUUGUAUACUAAAGAAAGUUAUCCCGUUGAACUAACUUUAAAUAAAGCUCAUUCUAACAUCAAUGAACAAUGACCACUGCCCUUUCCUCGAUCUUGAUACUGAUCAUUAACGGAAGCUUAUACAACUUUAUGAUAAAAGAGAUGAUUUUUCAUUUCUUAUCGUUAAUUAUCUUUUUAGGUGGUGACGUUCUUGUCACCAUCUUAUGGUUUUUAUAUAUCUCAACUUGUACGAUUCGCUCGUGUAUGUAACAACGUAUAAGAUUUUAGUGAGAGACAUUUAUGUAUUCCUGAAAAGUUUUACACCAGAGUUUUCGAUGUCACAAACUAGUCAAAACAUUUACUAAAUUUUAUCAUCGGUAUAAGGAAAUAAUUCGUAAAUAUAACUCAACAUGCAGAUAUCUUAUACGUUCAGUUAUUUCACAUCCAAUCUAUUAUGGUAAUAUUCUUUACAAAGCACAAAAAUGUCAGUAUUCACCUCAAAAGCUUACAAAACCUUUAAACAGACUUUGAUUUAAAUAUUGAUUCACUUAUAGGGUCUUUGCAUCGGAACUAAACCCAUUUAUUUUUGUUCUUCUCAUAUAUUUUAUGAUAGUAUGAUACUAAACCCCUAACGGGAGGGACUGUGCCUGAUAUUCAUUGAUGAAGACUAUCUUCAAUCAGUUUGAUUGAGGUCUCGUACUGGCAUGUCAGUUAACUGCUAGUAGUCUGUUGUUGUUUGUGCAUUAUUGUCAUUUUGUUUAUUUUCUUUUGUUGCAUCUUCUGACAUCGGACUCUUGAACUGAAUUUUAAUGUGCGUAUUGUUAUGCGUUUACUUUUCUACAUUGGCUAGAUGUGUAGGGGAGGGUUGAGAUCUCAUAAACAUGUUUAACCCCGCAGCAAUUUUGCGCCUGUCUUAAGUCACGAGCUUCCGGCCUCUGUUAGUCUUGUAUGAUUUUUAAUUUUAGUUUCAUGUGUAUAAUUCGGAGUUUAGUAUGACGUCCAUUAUCACUGAACUAGUAUACAUAUUUUCAAGGGAUAAUUAUUCACCUUGAGCGAUGUAUUAUUGUUGACCAUUCAAGAUUCUUUUGUUUGCGAACCCGACUUCAGCUGAAUAUGUGAUUACUGUAUCGUAUUACUACACAGGCUUCAAGGGAUUUUAAAUCGAAAAUAAAUACAACACAUGUGUUUUUGUGUCUUUCAAAACACAAAUAAUAUACAGAAAUAAUUGCAGGAUAAAGACAAUAACUGUUUAGUGUCUUUGAAUAUCGGUUGUAUUUAUACUCGGCUCGAAACAGGUGUAGUAGCUCGCUAAAAGCUCGCAUACACCUUGUUUCCUAGCCUCGUACACAUACAGGUGAUAUCUAAAGACACUAACCAGUUAAUGUCUAUUUAUUAUACAUUUCGAACGUUUAUAGGAAACUGUUAGGGACGUAGUGUUCUGUAUUUUAUAUUUCUCUUUUUAAACGUGACAUUUGUCAUUUCUGAAUUGACAAGUCACAGAUCGGUUCCAGGUUAACAUUUCCCAGUUCAAACCUGACAGUUCCGCUUUGACAAUUUUUUCCAUUCCACAUUGACAUUUCUCAAUUCCAUCUAAUUAGGUCUCAUUUCAAACUUGAGAAUUCACAUCGUCAAUUUGAAUAUUUUCACUUCAAAGUUACAACUCGACAGUUCCGAGUCGACAAUUCUCCUUUCCAGUGUUGACUACUGGUAUGGUGUUGUGAAUAACUCACAAUAAUAUUUAACAUAUUAUGAAUAUAUGUGUGUACAUGUGUAUACUUAAUUGUAGAAAGGAUUUGAAUUGUAUUGUAUACUGGUGUAACAAAGACACAGGG